UUAUCGUCGCAGUGGCAAAGGUUCUGGAGCGAGAGGAGAGCUAGGAUAAGCAUAAGGCCGGAGAAUAGCUGCCGGUCUCUCAUCAUCGGAACGGUUCGAGUAGAUCGGAGGGAGAAGAGAGAGAGAGAGAGAGAGAGUGGAAUCUAUUUUUUUUUUUUCCUGAAGAUUUUAGUUUCUCUGAGUGAUUUAUAUAUUUAAAUCCCGUAGACUCGGUCGAGUGUGUCGAUUUUUGUUGUUUCCACCAAUGAGAUCGCUCGCCACGUGGUGAGAGCCAAUAGAUGGACGCCACGUCAUGCGAAAGAGAGGUAUCCUACGUGCGCAAUUUGUAUUGCUACGUAAUGUGCAUGUUUAUUAUACAGAUAGUCUAACGUCAGUAUUGGGCUGGGCCUGUAAUCAAUUUAAAAGUCUCUGGUAGAGUAAGAGUCUUCUAGAAGCAAAAGUAACACAUUUAUCAGGAACAAAGAACCAAAUCAAACUAAACUAAAAAAAAUGAGGUUUGGUUCGGAUUUAGAUCAUAUAAUACACGAAUGAACGGAUCCUAUAACUUUUGAACUGAAAAACCAAAACCAAACUGGAGCAAACAAAGACCCGAAUGGAUACCCGAAUUUUUAUAAUAUAAUAUAUACACUUAUAAAUAUUAACUACAUUUAGUUUCAAAAUGAUAAAAUAAUUUGAAAUACUAUUUCUAAAAACUAAAUCUCCAAAUACAUUUUAUCCGAAAUAUUUUAAAUUAUUUGAACUAUCCAAAUUUUACCUAAAUUAUUGGAUAAAAAUCUAACAUUUAGUAAAAAAAAGACUGAAUUUACUUACUUUUUUUUGAAACACAUCUGAAUUUUCUUACUUUUAACAAAACUUAACAAAAAAACUAAAAUCGAACGGCUAACGAAUAUGAUCCAAAAAUGACCUCGGAUAUUAUUCGGUUUUUAAUUUUGUUAUCUAAACUAAACUGAAAAAUGAAAUAACCGAAUCAGAACCAAAGUGAAUCCUAAACAUCUAAAACUGAAAAGCAGAAAAAAUCGAAAGAACCGAACCGGAACCGAAUCCAAAAUUCUUUAGCGGAGCAAGAGUCUCUAUUGGGCUGGGCCUACUAAUCAAUUUGAAAGUCUCUAGCUGAGCAAGAGUCUUCCACAUACCAUUGACAAAAGCAAACUUUUUACACACGUAAGUCGUAAUAACCAUUACAGAAAUGUCACACACUAGUGGAAGAGUACAAGAUACUUUGUUAUUUUAAUAUUUGGUAUUAGAAAAAGUGGAAAACUAUAAAAUGUUGAAGAUGAAUAUCUAUAGUUUUACUGUUUAGGUACUAAGUGAUUGGUAACCAUCUUCCCGGUUCUUUCUCCGGUAUACCACGGCGACUAUUAGAACCACAACCGCCACCGUCACUGCAAGAAAGGCUAAAAAGCUCAUACUGCUCGAAUGUGCCUGCAAAGAAAUAAUGAAUACUGACGUUAAGUAAAGUAACACACAUGGUAAUAACCGGUUUGACCUAAACCGAGAUCUGUUACCGGCAGUUUCGGUCCAGGCAGCUGCUGAGAAACGAGGAUGUAAAAGAGUCCCAUGACUCCUGUAUGACCAAUGACAUUACUGUAAUUGAACUCCAAAGACAGUGUCUCUCCAUUAGUCACUUUCACCGGUUCAGGAUAACAAGACGACAUUCCAACGAUGUAACCAGCUUCGCUUCCAGGCUCAUCUCCAUUGCCAUACUUCGGCAUCGAGGAGCAUAUUACCUCACCGUCCUGAUCAAAAUCCAUAACACAAGAGUCUCAGUUUUUGAGUAAAAAGUUUUUGCCUUAGCUUAAAACCUUAGGUUGGGUGUUUAUACCCAAACCCGAAAUCCGAACUGAGACCAAACCAAAAUUCUAUCUAAACCAUCAUAAAAAAUAUCCAAAUAGAGUCUAAGAAUACUUUCGGACUCGGGUACAAUCCAAACCAAACUAAAAUCCGUACUAGAAUCCAAAAAAUCCACAUUAGUUAAUCUGUUAAUGUUUUUUUCUACAUAUGUUACGUUAAGAUAGUUUAGAAAUUUUUAAAAAAAUUAGAAUUUUUUGUAGUUUUUAUAGGAAUUGCGAAUCGUUAUUUUGGAAUACUUUUAAUUAGUUUAGGUAGCUUGACAAGUUUUUAAUCAGAUUUUUGAUUUUUUUAUAUAUUUUAAAUAUGUUUUUGUCAAUUUCAUUAAUUUUAUUUCCAGAUUUAAGUACGAUUUUUAGACAAUGGUUAUAAUUUGAUUUGAACCAAACUCAUACCAAAUCGAAUCAAACCCGAUCCAAAAACUAGUAAAAUAUGAAUAAGACCAUUGUGCAUGAUACCGAAAAUCCAAAACAAACCCCGAACAAGACACCAAACGUCCGGGCCUGUUAAAAACUAACCUCUCGGUACAGAGCUGCACCGAUACCACCUGCGUGCUGGUGAGCUACUCCAUAGACAAUAUACCCGUUAAACGGCAUCAAUGGUUAUAAUUUGAUUUGAAUCAAACACAUACGAAAUCGAAUCAAACCCGAUCCAAAAACUAGUAAAAUAUGAAUAAGACCAUUGUGCAUGAUACCGAAAAUCCAAAACAAACCCCUAACAAGACACCAAACGUCCGGGCCUGUUAAAAACUAACCUCUCGGUACAGAGCUGCACCGAUACCACCUGCGUGCUGGUGAGCUACUCCAUAGACAAUAUACCCGUUAAACGGCAUCAUUAAGCUCUUUUUCUUAACAUCGACACACCCAUCACCCUUAGUUUUGCACGGUUUCACGUCAUAUUCCACCUGAAAAGAAAACAAUUAAUACACCUUAGCUAACGUUAAAAGCAUUAAUAAGCAGAGAUGUGAAAAGUCUUUACUGACAUGACAAAAAUGUUCUUGGUUAUCUCCUGUUGAUCCUUCUGACCGUUCCCAAGAAUCCGUUACAUCGAGAAUAUAAACCUUAGCCGGCAACAAAACCGAGCUGUCCCAAUCAACCCAUCUCACAGUAUACUUAAGAUACACAGUUCUUGUUUUGUUUCCACUUUCGAAUCCGUUUCUUAACCGACAUUGAGUCUUAUCGUAGCAGCAGUCUUGACCUCCUUUGUAUCCAGGUUCUAAAGCUCGACCGUACUCAUCAACCGUUACAUUAUAAAGACCACACCGACACUCGGUGCAUCCUUGUUUAUCCACAACCCCUCUAGUGUCAAUAGCGUGAAUAUUUAGAAGCCAUUUGAACUCAUACCCAUCAGGUACUUUCUCCGGGUUACCGAUCUCGAUCGCGUAAGGAUCAGGAACAUACGUCGAAGUCUUGCGUGUUUCUGAUCCUAACCCAAAGUAUUGUCUAACUCUGUUCCUACACAACCCUCCGUUACUAACGAGAAUAUAAUCAGGGCUCGAACCAAGGUUCCUAGGCGUGUCUAGGUGCGAAAGGUUGAGACCUUUACGCACGUAGUAAGGGUGCACAACCCAGUGGUGGAGAUAUGUCUCGUGUAACGGGACGGGGUUACCGUCUUGGUCGACUACUUCGGCGUCGAAACCUUUGAGGCCGAUGUGGCCUCUAGGGAAAUCGAUGUCGAACAGGUAAGGGUCUGCGACUGAUCCUGGAGUCAUGACUUGUUUUGGUGAUAGGAAACUUGCGGACUUGAUGUUAAUGCUGUGGCUAGGCGAUAUGCUUAACGCGACCAGAAGAAGAAGUAAGGACGAGAUGAUCAGGUAACAACGAGCCAUUUUGUCCUGUUUCGAUAUCGUUAUAGAGAGGUAAUAAAUGAAGUAAAACUGAUAAAAUACGUAAUCAUGAACCGGUUUGACCUAAACCGAGAUCUGUUACCGGCAGUUUACCUGCAAGAAGCUCUCCGGUCCAGGCAGCUGCUGAGAAACGAGGAUGUAAAAGAGUCCCAUGACUCCUGUAUGACCAAUGACAUUACUGUAAUUGAACUCCAAAGACAGUGUCUCUCCAUUAGUCACUUUCACCGGUUCAGGAUAACAAGACGACAUUCCAACGAUGUAACCAGCUUCGCUUCCAGGCUCAUCUCCAUUGCCAUACUUCGGCAUCGAGGAGCAUAUUACCUCACCGUCCUGAUCAAAAUCCAUAACACAAGAGUCUCAGUUUUUGAGUAAAAAGUUUUUGCCUUAGCUUAAAACCUUAGGUUGGGUGUUUAUACCCAAACCCGAAAUCCGAACUGAGACCAAACCAAAAUUCUAUCUAAACCAUCAUAAAAAAUAUCCAAAUAGAGUCUAAGAAUACUUUCGGACUCGGGUACAAUCCAAACCAAACUAAAAUCCGUACUAGAAUCCAAAAAAUCCACAUUAGUUAAUCUGUUAAUGUUUUUUUCUACAUAUGUUACGUUAAGAUAGUUUAGAAAUUUUUAAAAAAAUUAGAAUUUUUUGUAGUUUUUAUAGGAAUUGCGAAUCGUUAUUUUGGAAUACUUUUAAUUAGUUUAGGUAGCUUGACAAGUUUUUAAUCAGAUUUUUGAUUUUUUUGUAUAUUUUAAAUAUGUUUUUGUCAAUUUCAUUAAUUUUAUUUCCAGAUUUAAGUACGAUUUUUAGACAAUGGUUAUAAUUUGAUUUGAAUCAAACACAUACGAAAUCGAAUCAAACCCGAUCCAAAAACUAGUAAAAUAUGAAUAAGACCAUUGUGCAUGAUACCGAAAAUCCAAAACAAACCCCUAACAAGACACCAAACGUCCGGGCCUGUUAAAAACUAACCUCUCGGUACAGAGCUGCACCGAUACCACCUGCGUGCUGGUGAGCUACUCCAUAGACAAUAUACCCGUUAAACGGCAUCAUUAAGCUCUUUUUCUUAACAUCAACACACCCAUCACCCUUAGUUUUGCACGGUUUCACGUCAUAUUCCACCUGAAAAGAAAGCAAUUAAUACACCUUAGCUAACGUUUUUAAGUAAUAAAAGCAUUAAUAAGCAGAGAUGUGAAAAGUCUUUACUGACAUGACAAAAAUGUUCUUGGUUAUCUCCUGUUGAUCCUUCUGACCGUUCCCAAGAAUCCGUUACAUCGAGAAUAUAAACCUUAGCCGGCAACAAAACCGAGCUGUCCCAAUCAACCCAUCUCACAGUAUACUUAAGAUACACAGUUCUUGUUUUGUUUCCACUUUCGAAUCCGUUUCUUAACCGACAUUGAGUACUAUUAUAAGCUUUAGUUUGUUAACACUAUUAUACAAGAUUUGUAACAAACUUUAAGAUCAUUAAUGAAUAAAUCAACAUUCUUCUUUGAAUCAAGAACACUUCAAUAACUCCACUCUAAAUCAUCAUAAUCCAAUCAGAUCAGAACCAUAUACUAACCACAAACGCGUUUCAGAGAGUUUAGCGAUAUACAAUACCUUCGUAAUCACCAUUCUUCGAAACGAUCCAGCGACCAUCAAACGCCUCAUCGAACGAUUCAUACAACACCUGAACACAAAUCCAACGAGCUCAGAUCUAAAAAAUCUUCAGAUCUACGAUAACAUUCGGAAACAUUUUCCCGAGAAAAAUCGAAAUCUACCGUAUUAUCGUCGCAGUGGCAAAGGUUCUGGAGCGAGAGGAGAGCUAGGAUAAGCAUAAGGCCGGAGAAUAGCUGCCGGUCUCUCAUCAUCGGAACGGUUCGAGUAGAUCGGAGGGAGAAGAGAGAGAGAGAGAGAGAGAGUGGAAUCUAUUUUUUUUUUUUCCUGAAGAUUUUAGUUUCUCUGAGUGAUUUAUAUAUUUAAAUCCC
rnacentral:lncRNA from 1 species